rnacentral:lncRNA from 1 species
GGGAGCUGGUAUGAUAAAACCAGAUGCUUCUGUACAGGUGAAAGUUCAUCAUGAAGACUCUAACACCUCAGAUGAGUCCUUUGAUGGCAUCCAGCAACAAAACUCAUCGUGUGAAGAAGCUUGUGACAAAGAAGUGACCCUGAUGGUAAUCAUCCAGGGAAGCUGCUCGACCAGAACAACAAGCCACUCUAUCAAAGUCCGCUACUGCUUCUCAGCAGCCAAAUCAGUUAAUCUCGCUUAUUCCAAACCCAAACCCAACAACGCCACAAAAAAUAAUCAAGAAGGUUCCACUCGUUACCAGCCAGAGAGUUACCGCGGUGGGAGCACCAGACGGGGUUGAAGAUGAUGAUUCCUGCUAACAUCACACUAUAGCUAGACCUUAGAAGCCAUCUAAAGAUAUGCAUCUAAACCAGACCCAGUAGGAGAUCAAGUUUUAUAAUAUUCACAACUAAGAUUCUGAGUUAUCAUCAGGUUAUGGUUUCUUCAAUUCUCGUUCUUUGAUUCGUUUAAAUAUCAGAAAAGUGUAUAUUGCGUUGAUACUUCAUUGAACUCAUUACAAAUCUGUUUUUCUACUCGAGAAACUCUGAAAAAAUAUCGAAUAGCAACGGUUUACAGGUACAAAAUACAAGUAUAUACUGGUUAUUCUUACAUGAUGAGACUCUCCUGUCCAAAUUGGUUGUUCAUAGUGCAUACAUUCUCUUGUUGUAUUCACCAUUUAGAAUCUCUGAAUCAGAAGGCAUACGAGACAUAGAGAAGGACUGAGACUUGCUUCUCUCUUUCCUUAUGCUCUUUAACUUAGAUUCCUCCACCCUGUGCAUGAUCACACAGUAACACAUGGCACCGAUCGUUGUCAACAUGAUGGUGCCGCCAAUGACAGUUGCACAUACGGCCAACCACAUCUCCUCUUUGCCCACAACAAUGUAAGAGAGGGAAACAAAGGCAAUGGAUAUGAACAGACAAGCACACCACAUGAGCUUGUUGAUCACAAAGACAAGCUUCUUCUUUGCCUUUUCCUCAAUCACAACAACUGAAGUCUGCACAACAACAACAGCUAAGGAUAUAAAAAGUGCCAAGCUGUCAAAGAUGAAGAAGACCAGAAACGGUGCUUUGUUCGCUAUAUGAGCUUGUCCUAGCAAAUCUCCUUUGGACCGGUCUUCUUCAUAUUGUCCGGGGAUUGUGAAGAUGGCUGCGAAAGCCACCGUGGCGAUAAGCACAGCCACGACAGUUGCCGAGUUUAUAGCGUUGUUUAGACCGCUAAUGUGAAGCUUCUUGAGUCUCUUUGCUAUCUUCUGGACUCUUACACCGGUUUGCCUAGACUGCUGAAGCUGAGAUUGCACCUCGUGCUUAAUGUCACUGACCGUUUGCUUGAGUUGCUUAGCUGGGUUCUGAGGCUUCCCUAGAUCUUUAGCUGUAGCAGCUCCUGCCUCUUUCAGAACCGAUGCAAGCUCUGCGUUUCCUAUCCUCUCUGCAACAUCGAGUGGCGUAUCUCCAGCUUUGUUUAUUGGGUUGAGGUUAAUGCCUUCAAAAGAUAGCAAACACCGCACUAUCUGCACAGAAGAAAGAUCCUUCCAUCAUGUGAAUCCCUUCUAUUACAUGAUUGAGAAAAGCUAAGUAAAGAGUUACUACUACCUUGAUACGGCCCUUGUUAGUGGCAAUGUGCAAUGGCGUGUUCCCUUUGUUAUCCUCAACGCUCAAAACAGCAACAUCAGGCUUCACCAACUCAACAACGAUCCCAUCGUUUUGACCUUUAACAGCCAUGUGAAGAGCAGUUUGUCCCUUUUUAUCAGUUCUAAACCCAAUGCUUGGAUCAUUACCCAUCAGAGACUUAUGACAUCACCAGGACCUCUAGAUAGCGUAAUCCGAACGGAUUUGUCUCAAAAGGGGAAUACUUACGCCCGGCAGGACAGUGUUAAGAUCUUGAUUGGUACCUGGAAUGUUGGUGAAGGACGAGCUUCAAGGGGAGCGCUUAUGUCUUGGCUGGGCUCUGAUGUGUCAGAUGUUGGCAUUGUAGCUGUGGGGUUGCAGGAGGUGGAUAUGGGGGCGGGUUUUCUUGCCAUGUCUACUGCUAAGGAAACGGUAACUCCUGUUUGAGCUAUUUACUCAUGACUAAUUUUUUGCCUGCGUUUGUUUGGUUUAAGUCGGCUCAUCUUUGUGUUCCGGUCGCAGGUAGGGGUUGAAGGAAGUGUUGUGGGGAAAUGGUGGAUUGAUGCAAUUGGAAAUGCACUGGAUGAGAGAAACACUUUCGAACGUAUGGGUUCAAGGCAAUUAGCGGGACUGCUAAUAUCUCUUUGGUAUGCAAAUAAUUCAUUCCGGACAAGUUACAUUUUUUUUGUCUUUCUCUAUUGAUUGCAUACCAGACAACAGUCUUUUGCUUUCCUUACAUAGCACCCAAAGUCUUUCACCCGUCUUAAGAGUUUUGAGCUAUAUCAUAUGUCUAGGUUAACCAUUAUUUUGUCUCCUCAUGUCUUAUAACUUUCUGCUUAGGGUGAGGAAGGAUAUUAGAACACAUGUCGGAGAUCUUGAUGUUGCAGCAGUUCCAUGUGGCUUUGGCCGCGCCAUUGGCAACAAGGUCUGUUUUUAUAGCUAUGUUUCACUUAGUUCCAUCUAAUACAAGAUCAGUUAGCUUGAUGUCUGUUUCAAGAAUCUUCUGAUCAAUUAGUCUGAUAUUGGAAUUUCUCUUACUGACCUCAGUUGAGGGUGAGUCGUCAUUGUUGAUCAGACUAAUGAUCCUACGUUGUUAAGAACAGGGAGGUGUGGGCUUGAGAAUCAGAGUUUAUGAUCGGAUCAUGUGCUUUGUGAACUGUCACUUGGCUGCUCACUUGGAGGCAGUUACUCGGAGAAACGCCGAUUUCAAUCACAUAUAUCGGUCAAUGGUCUUCUCCAAAGGACAAAGUUUAUAUACUGUUCCAGCUGGUAUAGAACCAUACCUGUUUUUUGUCUUGCUCAUUUGGCUUCUGAUUUUGGCUGCUUUAUUCUUCUGCCUUACCAUUGACUCUCUCUUGCAGCCGGUGCUUCAUCAUCUACCCAAGCACAAAAGAAUAACACUGUAUGAACUUAUCCUAUUAGCGCACUAGUUACAGAAUCUAACAUUUUUUUGUUCUCGAGCUUUUGGUGUGUGUCCCUUCUAAUGUUAUUGUUCUUUUUCUUUGUUUCCAAGAAUACAAACAUCAUCACUGAAGAGGAGAAAUCUGAUUUAGCAGCAGCAGACUUUGUUGCAUUUUUUGGUGACUUCAACUAUAGGUUGUUUGGUAUAACCUACGACGAGGCGAGGGACUUCAUUUCACACCGAUCAUUUGAUUGGCUCAGAGAGAAAGACCAACUGAGGGCAGAGAUGAGUGAAGGAAAAGUGUUCCAAGGAAUGCGUGAGGCAUUGAUCACCUUUCCACCAACUUACAAAUUUGAAAAGAAUAAGCCAGGCCUUGGAGGUAAACGAUAGAUUUGAAAUUCUCUGCAAACUUAUCCUCAUUGCUCAAGAACAUAUCAUUGCUUGUAAAAAGAGAAAAAAAUGGACUAAGUAAUUAAACUCUGCGCUGUUUCUAUCUCCAGGGUAUGAUUCAGGGGAGAAAAAGCGUAUACCUGCGUGGUGUGACAGAGUUAUAUACAGAGAUAACCAAUCAACCCCAUUUUGCGAGUGCAAUUUGCAGUGUCCUGUAGUUUCUUGUACUGUAAUGUAAUGUUCCAUCACACAAUCUCAUGAUCUUCUUUCACCUUUCGGCUUUCUCACCGUCCUAUGCAUUGUGUUAACAGGUAUGAAGCUUGCAUGGAUGUGACUGAGAGUGAUCACAAACCUGUGCGCUGCAAACUUCAUGCUAACAUAGCUCACACCGAUAAAUCUGUGCGAAGACAGGAGCUGGGGAAAAUAAUAAAGUCUAGUGAGAAACUCAGAACCAUGUUCGAGGAGCUAAGAUACGUUCCGGAAACAUCAGUGAGCACAAACAGUAUUCUUCUUCAGAGUCAGGACACGUUCAUCUUUUCAAUCACAAACAAGUCAAACUCGAGUAGAGCCCUCUUCAACAUCGUCUGCAAGGGUCAGACUGUUGUUAGAGAUGAUGGAGGCACCUUUGGUCUCCCUCGCUGGCUCGAGGUUAUUAAUUAUUCUCUUCUUUGUCACUAAUUGCUCUCUUUCUUCCUUUUAGAGAUCACAAAACUAAAUGAUCAGAUAACUAUUUAUGUAGGUUUCUCCGGGAGCUGGUAUGAUAAAACCAGAUGCUUCUGUACAGGUGAAAGUUCAUCAUGAAGACUCUAACACCUCAGAUGAGUCCUUUGAUGGCAUCCAGCAACAAAACUCAUCGUGUGAAGAAGCUUGUGACAAAGAAGUGACCCUGAUGGUAAUCAUCCAGGGAAGCUGCUCGACCAGAACAACAAGCCACUCUAUCAAAGUCCGCUACUGCUUCUCAGC